rnacentral:lncRNA from 1 species
GACAUAGACUGACUAUGUGACCCCAGAGCAAGGCACCUAACAUUUCAGUGCUUGAGACAACUCACAAAGACUACAGAUUGCUCAGAAGAUGCCAACAUGCACUGGAAAAGAGUUUCUUCCUGUGCUAUCCUGGUCCCUCCAGUUGUAUAGGCAACUCCCUUCCCACAUUUUCUACAAGUCACUGACAUGAGACAUCUAUCAUGCAGUUGUCCUCAGUCUCUGUGACAUCCGUGCCAUAUGCCAACUGGGACUUUUUCUCAUAGAAAACAUGAAUCAAGGCUGACCUUGAGACUGAGCUCUGACAUGUAUAGGCAGCUGUAACCUCGG